UACGGGGGGAGCAAGCGUUGUUCGGAUUUACUGGGCGUAAAGGGCGCGUAGGCGGCCACCGCAAGUCGACUGUGAAAUCUCCGGGCUUAACCCGGAAAGGUCAGCCGAUACUGCGGGGCUAGAGUGCAGAAGGGGCAACUGGAAUUCUCGGUGUAGCGGUGAAAUGCGUAGAUAUCUGGAGGAACACCGGUGGCGAAGGCGGCAUCCUGGACCAAUAUUGACGCUGAGGAGCGAAAGCCAGGGGAGCAAACGGG
rnacentral:rRNA from 1 species